UAUAUAGGGGAGGGAUCCAUGGAGAAUACUACAUUAAUAGAGAAUAGAGAAUUCAUCUCUAGCGUUAGAUCUACAAAAUCCAACGGCUACAAGAAAUUCGAAUAAUUAAAAAAUAAAACCAUCAAAAACGCUGAAAAUAAGAACGCUCCGAAAUUUUACUGCCCAGAGGGUGUAAUUGGGAAUUUUACCCACAUCAAUAAAUCCGGAAGAUUUGAUUACUCCGCCUUUCCCUCUUCCACAUCUCCACGAUUAUUCGGUUGAAUUUCUGCAGACACCAUUUGUACAAAACUUUCUGCAGAUUUGAAGAAAAAGAAUUGAAUUUGUUCAUCGUUUCGGCAUAUUUUCGCGACAUCGAAGGGGCAAAGAUGUUGAAAUUGACGAAGAACGUUGGGUUGAAAUUGAUUCUGAAACUAUAAAAGUUUCAUACAGAAGAUUCCCAUGCUUUGAGCCACCAACUGAUACAGAGCUCAAAUUUGACUCUUUCCACUACCCCUCAACAAUCGAUAGAGAGGGUUUUGUCUUCAAUUGGGGAUCCUUUGAAAAAAUCAAAUUUUUAUUCAAAGGUAAUUUGAUUCUUUUUUUUUUCUUUUUACUUUUCAAUUGGGGCAUGCUCUUUAAUUGGGGGUUCACCUAAUUUAUCAUAUUCAAAGUUACAUUAGUUAGUCGUUGUUUUCAUGGACAAGUGAAUAGGUUAUCAUUUUUUUUUUUUUUGCUUUUCAAUAUGGGUCUGCUCUUUAAUUGUUUGAUGAAGAGUUUUAAUAUUAUGUUUAUUCAUAUGGAAUUUGCUCCUGACUUCAAAGAACUGAAGUGAUUAUAUGGCUUGAAGAAUUUGUGUUGGAAUGAAGCAGAGGACCUUGAUUCUGGAUUGCCGAGAAUUUUUAUCUGAGUUUCUGCUGAUUGAAAAAAUGUAGUUUGUUCAUUGAAAAUGUAUAAUUAUUCGUUACAUGAAUUACUUUAUUCAACAGAAUAUUUUCUUCAUUCCUAGUUUAUGGGUAGUAGAUACAUUAUUCAGAAA